UUCCUCUCAGUGUUGCAUCUGGAGAGUUUCCAGAACUCUACCAGUCUCGACUAUGAGAGGGAGAGUCAAGCAGAGUAAUAUCCAUGCCAUUCCUAGCUUGAGCAUUGUCUAGCAAGUGGAAUACAAUCUACUACAACU